ACGGCUUUCCCGGCCCUGCGCCUUCGCUGCUUCCGCCUCUGCGGCAAGCCCACGAGCCUCACUUCUCCUACCCCCUAAUUAGGAGCAUCAGUGCAUCGCUUUGAUUUCCCCUAAAAAGGGAAAAACGGCCCAAACGCCUUCGGCUGAGUGCGGGAGUGGAGAGAUUUCUGGCAGAAAACGACAAAAAUGUUUUUUUCCCCGGGCUGGGAAGAACCAACCAAACCGAACUGUGGUGGCACCCCCCAGCAGCGCCUCUCUGCCGCCCCAGCUGAAGCCCUCGCUGGCUGCUCCAGGCUCCAUGGGCAGACUGGGAACACAGGAGCUCCUGGUGGUGACGUUCCCAGAUCCGGAGGCACGGCUGUGUUCCAUGAAGGCUGGCUUGAGUGUGGGACCCUGCCCUCUGAUGCAGGUACAGACUCUGGGGACAGCAGAGGACUAAAUAACGAAAAAGAAGAGGGGGAAGAAAACUGCAGAUCUAGACAAUUUUUCAGACAAUACAUGGGACACAUCCUGGUCUGUUGAAGCCUUAAGAUAUUGGACGGUCAGAAGACAAAGAACGGCAACUGCUGCUGGCUGUGACUGUCUUUGCAGUUCAGCUGGAACCUGGACAGUUGUAACAUCUGUGGGUUCUACUGCUGCACCAUCAGACUCUCCCUCUUCGAGGCAGGGGAAGGGCUUCUCAUCAGCUGGGGAAAUGUACUCCUUCAGCAUCUGGCCUAUCUCCUUUACUAGAAACCCCACCCAUUCUGGGUAGUUCAUAUCUGGGGUGGACUGUGGGGCAGGGUCAGGUUCUGGGGCAGCAGCAUCUCUAGUCUUGGGUGCCUUGUCAGGUUCUGGGUUAGGUGUCAGGGUGGUUCUUCCCUUAUCUCUAAAUGCUAAAUAGAACAGGCCUAACAGCAUCACCAGCCACUGUAUGAUAGCAUUAGUAUUUAGAGUGGAUCUGAACCCUUCAAAAACUGGUGGGGCAGACCCAAAGAGAUGCUUAAAGGGUUGGGAGAAAAUUUCCCCUGGUAUCAUUUCCUUACAGUAGGUGUCAUUAUUAAAGUAACCCCAAAAACAUAUAGUUAGUGUGUGGUAGCUGUGAAUCCAUGUGCCUGCUUUCCAGAGGAAGUUAAAAAUUCAUUAAUUCCUCAUCUUAUUCACCCAUAAAACAAACCGGAUAACAGCCACAGUAGCCUUGGUUAUAGGACCCAUGUUUAGAUAAGGGCCUGCAAAUGGGAGAAAUAAAGCCACAAUUACACGCCAAACCAGGGUAGGCUGGACCACAUGGUGUCGCUUAACGAGGUUUCUAUAGCAGCACACAAAAAUUAGAUUACUCAAGAACUGUUAUUCCCUUUUUUGUUUCUAUGCCCUUGAGCCCCACAUUGAGCGCCAAAAUCUGUCUUGGUUUGGAAAGACAGGUGUCUGCUAAGGAAGGCAGGAGUCUCUUGAAAUGGAAAAACGUAAACUUCUUCCUUCUGAAUUGUUAUAAAUUUGAAAAUAAGGGGGGUUUUCAGGUAAAAAUAUGGGAAUAGGAAUAAGAGUUCUUUAUUAGGGAAGAAAAUAAAAAAAUAAAAUAAACAAUGCAGUGAACUAAAACAACACUGACAGAGCCAGAAUACAAGCUGACACGCUAUUGGUCAGGGUGUUGGCAGCAGUUAAAUUGGAAUGAUGGCUGCGGUUUUUCUGGAGUGUCAGGUGUGGUUCUGUUGGAGUAGGGACUCUGUAGAAAAGGGUGUAGUCUUCUUUUGAAGAGGUAGUGGAAGAGGCAGCUGUUCCUUUGGGAAAACCCAGUGCAGAAAAAACCUGUGCUGAUGGGCCAGAAUCUCAAGACUAUAUAUGAAGGUAGGAAUGCUUGGCUCCUCCCUCUGGGCGGAGCAUCUCACAAUGGGAUAUUAUAGUUUUUAUUAGCCAUGCAGUGACACUCAAUGGCCCAUUAUUAGCAGAUGUCUCCCCAGAGGGAGGAUUGAUUGUGGAAGAGAUAAGGAAAAUUGCCCACUUAACACAAGACAACUGCCAUACAGAUGGCAAAUAGAAUACAUCUUGCUUUUCAAUCUGGGACAUUUGGAAAAAUAAUUGGAAAAGUAUAUGUGAUUAGUGUUAUGAAGCAGAUGGGUUUCUUCAAGAAUACAUGUGGAAGGUAGGAUGCAGAAGUUGGAUUCAGCCUUGGGAAUGGAGGAAGUCAGGAACUGACUCCCAAACCAAAACUGGCAUCAACUGAAGUUAGAAGACAACUCCCAGAGCAGGAUCGACCUUGAAUAUGAAUAAAACUGGCAGCAUUCCAGAGAGGGAACCUAAAAUAGUGGUCUUAUCUAUGAAAUAAUAAGGCUCAAUUGAAACAUAAUGCAUCAAGCUCAAUGUGCAUGCACAAUCUGCCAGGUCAUUCAGCGGACAGCAAGGAAGACCUUUGGCCUUCCUCCAAGAAGACCCCCGAAGAGACAAGAAGACUCCCUAGCAACAACGGGAGCAUGCGCCAUGCAGUAGAGUGACACAGAUUUCAAGAAUCAAAAAUGGGAGCAGAUUUAUGGGAAUUAUUGAUGAAUAUGUAUUAGCAUACAGUAUAAAAAUUGUUCUUGGAUUCUUUUGCCCUUUGUACAGGUGGCAAUGUGAGAACCCCUCCCCGUACCCCGAUCGGUUUUGCUUCUGCUUUAUCUGAACCAUUGCCAAAUAACUCUUUGUAACCACUUCAUUAUAUUUUAUUGUAUUAUUAUUAUUUUAUUCCCCAAUUAAAAAUUGCUGCUAAAUUUCAA